rnacentral:lncRNA from 1 species
AAUCCUGCCCGUCCCUUAAGUAGCUGUGAGAUUGUUAAAGCUUCUAUUAAAUCAGUUUUCUCAUGGUAAAAUGUACAUAAUACCACCUUACUUUCAGAAAUACUGAAAAGUGUUUUGUAUAAAUAUACCAAAGUCUGUGGAAUAGCUGGGUCAACUGUAAAUUGCAAGUAUUUGGUUAUCAUUAUUAGUUGUUCAGAUAUCCGCUUUUGCUAAAAAAAAAAAAAAAAGUGUUGUUUUACCCCUGGGUAAGAGGCAGUCUCUGGGAUUAAGUCAAUCCCUGUCGAGUUCCUCUUCUGCCAGACUUGAAGGAGCUACGUAUUCAAGAGAAGGGCUACGCACCUGAUACUAGUCUCCACAGUUCUGCAUUUUGUUAAGGUUACUUGGUGGGAAAUACCAAAGGCAUUUGGCUGGGAGUGGAAUGACAAGGAGCAGGAGCCUCUGGCCAACUUACUGUUUUUCAUGCAGUGUUUGAAAACAUGUAAUAAUGAAUAGUGUUUAUUUUUAAAUACAAAUAUGAACAAGAUAAAUACUACAGUAGUAAUUUAUUUGCUCGUUUUUACUUUUCUUUCUCAGGAAAACUCAAUGUGAGUAGUGACACUGUCCAGCAUGGUGUGGAAGGAUUAACGUAUCUCCUCACUGAGAGCUCAAAGCUCAUGAUUUCUGAACUGGAUUUCCAAGACUCUGUUUUUGUUCUGGGAUUCUCUGAAGAAUUAAACAAAUU